GGGCGGCUACCAUGCAGUCGAGCGCGCCCUUCGGGGUGAGCGGCGGACGGGUUAGUAACGCGUGGGAAUAUACCCUUUGGUACGGAAUAGCCUCUGGAAACGGAGAGUAAUACCGUAUGUGCCCUUCGGGGGAAAGAUUUAUCGCCAAAGGAUUAGCCCGCGUUAGAUUAGGUAGUUGGUGGGGUAAUGGCCUACCAAGCCUACGAUCUAUAGCUGGUUUUAGAGGAUGAUCAACAACACUGGGACUGAGACACAGCCCAGACUCCUACGGGAGGCAGCCGGGGGGAAUUUUGGACUUUGGGGGCGUGCCUGGUCCAUGCAUGCCGCGUGAGUCUUUAGGGCCCUAGGAACGUAAAGGUCUUUCCCGGGUCAAAAUUAUUAUCGCUGCAGAGAAACAAACCGCGAAAACAUCCCCCGCCGUGCCCGCGACAAUACGG
rnacentral:rRNA from 1 species